AUUGCUUGAAACUGGAUAUAUAACAAAUUUUGGCAGAAAAGGAAAAUAAUGAAGUUGGAGACACUUGCUGUUGGAAGUGGGAAAUAAAAAACAAAACUGAUUGAAUUAAAGAACUACACAAAAAAUAAUGGAGAUAAGCCAGCUUAAAUGCAAGGAGCAUGUGCUGGAGGAUUCAUUUUUGUUAAUGAGAAACAUGAUUAGAAUUAUAAUUUUCCAAGGUAUGGU
rnacentral:misc_RNA from 1 species